UGAUCUGAAUUACGUAUCAGUGCCAUGUCCUUGCGCUGACAUGUGAAUGGCAUCAAGGAUUCAUCACCUUCAGUAGAUCUCUCGAUGAUGCCCUUGAAUGCUUUCAGGAGAUUUCUGAUCACAUGUGGGUGCGAAAUCUCUAGAUUUCUAGAAUUUAUAUUUGAUGUAAUUUUAUUUCCUUUCUGAUGCCCUCGAAUUAUGGACGGUGAUGAUGCCCUGAAGUAUGGUGCGGUGAUGGAAUGUAAUCCCUGUAAUUCUUGUUUCA